AGAGUUUGAUCCUGGCUCAGGAUGAACGCUAGCUACAGGCUUAACACAUGCAAGUCGAGGGGAAACGACAUCGAAAGCUUGCUUUUGAUGGGCGUCGACCGGCGCACGGGUGAGUAACGCGUAUCCAACCUGCCCACCACUUGGGGAUAACCUUGCGAAAGUAAGACUAAUACCCAAUGAUAUCUCUAGAAGACAUCUGAAAGAGAUUAAAGAUUUAUCGGUGAUGGAUGGGGAUGCGUCUGAUUAGCUUGUUGGCGGGGUAACGGCCCACCAAGGCAACGAUCAGUAGGGGUUCUGAGAGGAAGGUCCCCCACAUUGGAACUGAGACACGGUCCAAACUCCUACGGGAGGCAGCAGUGAGGAAUAUUGGUCAAUGGGCGAGAGCCUGAACCAGCCAAGUAGCGUGCAGGAAGACGGCCCUAUGGGUUGUAAACUGCUUUUAUAAGGGAAUAAAGUGAGUCUCGUGAGACUUUUUGCAUGUACCUUAUGGAUAAGGACCGGCUAAUUCCGUGCCAGCAGCCGCGGUAAUACGGAAGGUCCGGGCGUUAUCCGGAUUUAUUGGGUUUAAAGGGAGCGUAGGCCGGAGAUUAAGCGUGUUGUGAAAUGUAGACGCUCAACGUCUGCACUGCAGCGCGAACUGGUUUCCUUGAGUACGCACAAAGUGGGCGGAAUUCGUGGUGUAGCGGUGAAAUGCUUAGAUAUCACGAAGAACUCCGAUUGCGAAGGCAGCUCACUGGAGCGCAACUGACGCUGAAGCUCGAAAGUGCGGGUAUCGAACAGGAUUAGAUACCCUGGUAGUCCGCACGGUAAACGAUGGAUGCCCGCUGUUGGUCUGAACAGGUCAGCGGCCAAGCGAAAGCAUUAAGCAUCCCACCUGGGGAGUACGCCGGCAACGGUGAAACUCAAAGGAAUUGACGGGGGCCCGCACAAGCGGAGGAACAUGUGGUUUAAUUCGAAGCAACGCGAAGAACCUUACCAAGUCUUGACAUCCUUCUGACCGGUACUUAACCGUAUCUUCUCUUCGGAGCAGGAGUGACAGGUGGUGCAUGGUUGUCGUCAGCUCGUGUCGUGAGAUGUUGGGUUAAGUCCCGCAACGAGCGCAACCCUUAUCUUUAGUAGCCAGCGGUUUGGCCGGGCACUCUAGAGAGACUGCCAGGGAUAACCUGGAGGAAGGCGGGGAUGACGUCAAAUCAUCAUGCCCCUUAUGACUUGGGCUACACACGUGCUACAAUGGCGUAAACAAAGGGAAGCAAAGCUGUGAAGCCGAGCAAAUCUCAAAAAUAACGUCUCAGUUCGGACUGUAGUCUGCAACCCGACUACACGAAGCUGGAAUCGCUAGUAAUCGCAGAUCAGAAUGCUGCGGUGAAUACGUUCCCGGGUCUUGUACACACCGCCCGUCACACCAUGGGAGUUGGGAAUGCCCGAAGCCAGUGACCUAACCGAAAGGAAGGAGCU
rnacentral:rRNA from 1 species